UGUCUUUCCAAAGGCCUGAGAAUUUAUCUUAAAAACUAAAUCUGAAUUAAAAAAUUGUUAUAAUUGCUCAUGGUCGUGUUACUUGUAAUGAGAGGUAGAAAGUAAAAACUGCACUCAGAGACAGAGUUGUUAGGAAGAAGUGAAGAUAUUUCUCUUUCUUUUAAUGAUAAAGUGAUCUUUGAUGAAUUCUCAAAAUGAUUGAAGUUUCAUUUUUUCUUUAUCUUCAAUCUCUCUCAUUGAACUGCCCACAUGAUCUUUCUGAGGUAUAAACCUGAUAAUGACAUUCCCAGGCUUAAAAAGUCCUAGUCUCCUUAUCAUCCAUAAAGCAAAAUUCAAAUUCUUAUCAUGGAAUAUAUAAGGUCCCCCUCUACCUCUCUAGACUCAUUUCCUGCCAUAGAUCCCUGUACUCCAAAACCAAAUCAUAAUUCCAAACCCAUUGUCCUUUCAGGACUCUGCAUUUACAUAAGUUGUACUCAUGCAAGACACCCACCUCUCCCAAAGUUUAACCUUCUACUUCCUCGGUCACUCCCUCUGUUCAGAAUGCUCUUUCCCCUCUUGCUCAUGGGUCCUCCUACAUAUACCUCAUGACUUAGUUUAAGUAUCUAGUCUUCUGUGGGGCUUUCCCUGACCCCUCUACUGUCCCUUCCCCAAACACAGCACUGACCCACAGAAGAGACGCCACUCAUAUUAUCAUGAUGUUUUAUGAUUUCACUUAUAGCUCAGGCCACAAAACUUGGAGUCACAUUGAAUCCUCUUUCCUUACAUUCCAAGUCAGAUCCUUCAGCAAAUUCUGUGAGUUCCAUUUUCAAAAUAUAUCUAGCACCUGACUCCUUAUCAUCUCCACUGCUACCACACUGGCCUUAGCCACAUCACCUCUCAUCUGGUUUACUGUGAUAGCCUUCUCACUAGUCUGCCAGAUUCUGCUUUGAAGCCUGUUCAGUCCAAUAACACCCCAGCACUAGUGAUUCAGUUAAAACAAAAGAUUAUUCCUCAUUCCUCUGCUCAAAACCCUCCAAUGGCUCCCACCUAUGCCAAGCAAACCUAAAGUCCUUCAGAUAGCCUACAAGGCCCUCCCUAGCCUGCUCCCCAUCACCUCUUUCUUUCCCACUACUUUCCUCUUCUUGUUCCCUCUGUUCCAGCCUCAUAUUCUUUGCACCUGCUGUUCCUUCUGUCUGGAAUGCUAUUCUCCCAAAUAUCCACACAACUCCUUCCCUCAUUCCCUAUAGGUCUUUACUAAAUAUUACCUUCUGCCUCAGCACAAGAUUGUGAUGUCUAAAUACUAUUUUCCACUACAAUGAACCAAAUUCUUUGGGAAAAUGGCUGAUUCCAAGCCUAAGGUGGGAAGUCUAUGAGAUUGGAAUAUUUUGUCAUAUCAGAAAGCAAAGGUGCUAUCUAAAACUACUAGGGUUGUGUCAAAGGGACUCAGGAACCAACUUCAAGUGGCUCCUACUAGCCAAAAUAGUAAAACUUUGAACAGCAAUAAGAAUGGAAACACAUCAGAUAUGUUGAUACCUAUGUGUUCAUAAUGAUAAUCUAAAGGAAUCAUUGUUCAUCUUUGGAACCAAUUCAUUAUUCAGAAAACAAAUAAGAGGAGGAAAUACCAACAGUCAAUAUGCUUUGCUGCACAAACUGUACCACACAGCAACCAAAUAACUGAUGAGGGAAAGUUUCUCCUUAAAGUAUUCCAGAUAAUGAAAGAAUCAAAUUGAUAGCAUUAGAGUAUCAUCAUUAUAUAAACAUCUAAGUGAUGAAGCUAGGUAAUAAUCAUCAGUGACUGCUGACAUCACAAAAGGAGGUACAAACAUUCACUGAAGGCCUCUUGAUGGAAGAACACACAGCACCUUCUGAAGUAGUCUUGCCAAAAAAUUGAAGCCUCUCAAUUUAAAUACCAGUUUACAGGAAAUAUAGGGCACAGAAAACCAUAUACAUAAUGAAAUAUGUUCAAAGGAAAUCUUAAAUUCACUUCAAAAAGAGGAAGAACAGAAGUAAACCCAGGGUACCUGAGGAGAAUGAGAGCAGAAGUCCCUUCCAUCCUAUAGCACAAAGGAUCUCUCUACCUCUCUUCCCCAAAUUUAAAGCAAUUCUAUAUAUUCAACAGCAACUGUGGGACUGGGGCCAUGUUGAGAGAGGGGAAUGGGUGGUGAAGUAUGACUUGAAGAGAAAGGGGUGCUGACUUUGGAAAGAAGUGAAGUUUGCAAUACUAAAAGCAAAAGGAACCAUACAAAAUACAUUACUCUACUUGAUAAAGUU